CACGAAGUUAGCCGGGGCUUCUUCUCCGACUACCGUCAUUAUCUUCAUCGGUGAAAGAGCUUUACAACCCUAAGGCCUUCAUCACUCACGCGGCAUGGCUGGAUCAGGCUUGCGCCCAUUGUCCAAUAUUCCCCACUGCUGCCUCCCGUAGGAGUUUGGGCUGUGUCUCAGUCCCAAUGUGGCUGAUCAUCCUCUCAGACCAGCUAUGGAUCGUCGCCUUGGUAGGCCUUUACCCCACCAACUAGCUAAUCCAACGCGGGCCAAUCCUUCCCCGAUAAAUCUUUCCCCCGUAGGGCGUAUGCGGUAUUAAUUCCAGUUUCCCGGAGCUAUUCCGCAGGAAAGGGUAUGUUCCCACGCGUUACUCACCCGUCUGCCACUCCCCUUGCGGGGCGUUCGACUUGCAUGUGUUAAGCCUGCCGCCAGCGUCGUUCUGAGCCAGGAGUCAACUAC
rnacentral:rRNA from 1 species